GACGAACGCUGGCGGCGUGCCUAAUACAUGCAAGUCGAACGGAGUGGCGGACGGGUGAGUAACGCGUAAUCAACCUGCCCUUCAGAGGGGGACAACAGUUGGAAACGACUGCUAAUACCGCAUACUGAAGGAGGGGAUUGCGUCUGAUUAGCUAGUUGGAGGGGUAACGGCCCACCAAGGCGAUGAUCAGUAGACGGGCUGGGAGGAUGAACGGCCACAUUGGGACUGAGACACGGCCCAGACUCCUACGGGAGGCAGCAGUGGGGAAUCUUCCGCAAUGGACGAAAGUCUGACGGAGCAACGCCGCGUGAGUGAUGACGGCCUUCGGGUUGUAAAGCUCUGUUAAUCGGGACGCGGUACCGGAAUAGAAAGCCACGGCUAACUACGUGCCAGCCGCCGCGGUAAUAC
rnacentral:rRNA from 1 species